rnacentral:rRNA from 1 species
CGGGUGACCGGAUGCCGAUCUCGAAAACCUGUCCCAGUUCGGACUGGAGUCUGCAACCCGACUCCACGAAGUUGGAUUCGCUAGUAAUCGCGCAUCAGCCAUGGCGCGGUGAAUACGUUCCCGGGCCUUGUACACACCGCCCGUCAAGCCAUGGGAGCCGGGGGCGCCUGAAGUCCGGGACCGCGAGGACCGGCCUAGGGCGAAACUGGUGACUGGGGCUAAGUCGUAACAAGGUAAC